ACUGAACGCUGGCGGCAUGCCUUACACAUGCAAGUCGAACGGCAGCACGGGAGCAAUCCUGGUGGCGAGUGGCGAACGGGUGAGUAAAGUAUCGGAACGUGCCCAGUCGUGGGGGAUAACGUAGCGAAAGUUACGCUAAUACCGCAUACGAUCUAUGGAUGAAAGCGGGGGAUCGCAAGACCUCGCGCGAUUGGAGCGGCCGAUAUCAGAUUAGGUAGUUGGUGGGGUAAAGGCUCACCAAGCCGACGAUCUGUAGCUGGUCUGAGAGGACGACCAGCCACACUGGGACUGAGACACGGCCCAGACUCCUACGGGAGGCAGCAGUGGGGAAUUUUGGACAAUGGGCGAAAGCCUGAUCCAGCCAUGCCGCGUGCAGGAUGAAGGCCUUCGGGUCGUAAUCUGCUUUUGUACGGAACGAAAAGGUUUGGCCUAAUAAGCUGAGCUCAUGACGGUACCGUAAGAAUAAGCACCGGCUAACUACGUGCCAGCAGCCGCAGUAA
rnacentral:rRNA from 1 species